rnacentral:rRNA from 1 species
AGCAUAUCAAUAAGCGGAGGAAAAGAAACCAACAGGGAUUGCCCUAGUAACGGCGAGUGAAGCGGCAACAGCUCAAAUUUGAAAUCUGGCUCUUUUAGGGUCCGAGUUGUAAUUUGCAGAGGGCGCUUUGGCGUCGGCAGCGGUCUAAGUUCUUUGGAACAGGACGUCACAGAGGGUGAGAAUCCCGUACGUGGUCGCUAGCCUUCGCCGUGUAAAGCCCCUUCGACGAGUCGAGUUGUUUGGGAAUGCAGCUCUAAAUGGGAGGUAAAUUUCUUCUAAAGCUAAAUACUGGCCAGAGACCGAUAGCGCACAAGUAGAGUGAUCGAAAGAUGAAAAGCACUUUGGAAAGAGAGUCAAAUAGCACGUGAAAUUGUUGAAAGGGAAGCGCUUGCAGCCAGACUUGCCUGUAGUUGCUUAUCCGGACUUUUGUCCGGUGCACUCUUCUGCGGGCAGGCCAGCAUCAGUUUGGGCGGUUGGAUAAAGGUCUCUGUCAUGUACCUCUCUUCGGGGAGGCCUUAUAGGGGAGACGACAUGCAACCAGCCUGGACUGAGGUCCGCGCAUCUGCUAGGAUGCUGGCGUAAUGGCUGUAAGCGGCCCGUCU